rnacentral:lncRNA from 1 species
GAGCCCGGCCGCGCUCAGCCGCUCCUCACCUGGGCCGCCGCCGCCGCCGCGCCGUUUCCGUGCUGCUGCUGUUGCUGCUGCUGCUGCUGUAGAUACUCGCCGUGGCCGCCGCCGCCUCCGCCGCCGUCCACGUCCAAGGUAUGCCUGCUGCUCAUGGAGGGAAGAAGUGAGCUUGUAAUCCCUUUGGAGCUAGAGUUACAGAUGGCUAUGAGUUGCCACAGGGAUCCUGGAGAUUUGACCGAGCCAGAAGACCACUCACAGGUUGAUCCUCUUGUUCCACGAUGUGAGUUGCAGAUAUCAAACUCAGGUGGCCAGGCCUGGCAGCAAGCUCUUCUGGCCGUUCAGCCAUCUCACUGGCCCUGUGGAAAUCUUUUGAAGAAGAUGGACUCACAUGAGCACAAGUUCAGAAAUGAAUAGUUUGAAAGUAGGUUCUUGGAAAAUAAAUAAAUAAAUAAAUAAAUAAAGACAAUGGAAUGGAAAGAAGCAAAUCUCCUGCAAGCUUGUUUAAUAUACACUAACAGUGAAUACAUUAGAAGGCCAGAUGAAUAAACAGAGUUCCCUGUAAAUAGCACACACUUGCAUCUCCUUUAAUACGACAGCUAAACAAGACAGGACACUAAUGUGAAUUGGCUUGAUUUUUCUGAAAUCAGGAAACCUUGCACAUCCUAGGACCACAGUAAAUGUAUUGAAUUGAUAUUUAACUUCUUCAGCUCAGUUAUCCUGUAAGACCCCAACUCAAUGUGUUUCUUAGACCCCUAGAAACAAAGCCCAGCAUGGAGUUCUUUGUUCUUUCGCCUUCAGCCUGAGAGAACGAUGACCACUGGGUGGCCCACCCAGGUGCCUGACUCAUUGUGUAAGGGACCAAGAAUGUUUGCCAAAGAUAGCCUGUAACCUUUCCGUGAGAGAUGAGCUGUAAUUCGUCAUCCCCAUUCUUAGGAUGUUUACUCAGCUUCCCCAUUCUUUGUGGUCUUAUCCUCCCCUCACUUUGCGGUUUAUUCUUUAAAAACCCUCAACUGCAACUGCAGGGUUGGGGGUGGAGGUGUUGAUCUCCUCUGCCCCUGUACAGUUACGAGCUUGGCCUCAGCAUGCUGAUUCCCGAAUAAACCUCAUGCGAUAUUGCAUCAAGAA